AUUGAACGCUGGAGGCGUGCUUAACACAUGCAAGUCGUGCGAGAAAGGGACUUCGGUCCUGAGUAGAGCGGCGCACGGGUGAGUAACGCGUGGGUAAUCUCCCUUGGUGAUCGGGAUAACAGCGGGAAACUGCUGCUAAUACCGGAUAAUCUUCAUGUUUAACUUCAUGGGGUAAAGGUGGCCUCUGCUUGCAUGCUACCACAUCAAGAUGAGCCCGCGUCUCAUUAGCUAGUGGGUAGGGUAAUGGCCUACCAAGGCUACGAUGAGUAGCUGGUCUGGGAGGAUGACCAGCCACACUGGGACUGGAACACGGCCCAGACUCCUACGGGAGGCAGCAGUGGGGAAUAUUGCGCAAUGGGCGAAAGCCUGACGCAGCGACGCCUCGUGAGGGAUGAAGGUCUUCGGAUCGUAAACCUCUGUCAAGAGGGAAGAAACCCUUGAGUUCGAACAGGACUCUUGGCUGACGGUACCUCAAAAGGAAGCACCGGCUAACUCCGUGCCAGCAGCCGCCGUAA
rnacentral:rRNA from 1 species